GUAGUGGAGGACUUUUAUUAUGCUUUUAUUUUCAUAUUAUUCAUCCUAUUUUUCAUUUUUUAAUUACAAUCAUAAGCUCAUAAAUCGUGAUUCAUAUGGAGAUCAUCUUUUUCUGCUAACGUACAGAAUUAUGCUCUUUCUGUCUUUUGAGCAAAGUACAAUGUCCAAGGACUUAAACAUCAUGUACUGAGAACAAGACAUACGUUGUAUGAUUUCACUAGAUUUGUGUUUAACUGUUUAUGUUCUUAAUCACUGACAGCUGAAGGCUAUCUUCUAAAUGACGUAGAAACGGAUGAUUGUACGUAUUUCAGCAUCUUACUAUAAAUGUGUGUUCAACCUUGUGAUCGGGGCUCUUGGGUUUAGACUUCUAGCACCAGGGAGUGAGAGCCUAUUCUGCAGAAUAUAUAAAAUUCAGACAAAGAAAAUUCUGUCGACAGUGUGUCUGUGUGAUCCUUGACUUUGACUCUUAGUGAGUAUUAUUUGAUGCGGCUAAAAUUCCACGACAAUAAUGGCGACGAGGAUGCGGAUUCCACAGCUGAAGACUUCAGAAGGUUUGGGAGAGACUGACUGAUCACCCCUGAGACGAGAGGUCUCGGGCUCCGUACCCCAGGCCUAAGGGAAGGGAGAGUCUCAACCAUUUCUGAAGUCAAAGCUGACGGAAUCUGGAAAAGAACCGUUGUGGUGGCAUCUGAAUAGAUAAUACGGUAAGCGUUAUUUCGUUCGUGACCAUGGGUCAGGGUAAUUCGAAAGGGAGUACAAAGUCAAUGGAUCUGGAAAAUGGUGUGUAUGCUCGAGUGAUCAAAUCAAAGGGCACGGGGGCGUUGGAAAGCGUAAAAUCUGGGAGAAAAGGUAUGAUUUUCCUCCUAAAGGAACACUGAGUGUAAAAGCACUCGUUUUAUUAAGGGAAAAAUCAUUGCGGAUGGCAGAGAAAUGAGAGCACAGAGUAAGAUAAAGACCAAGGACGAACUGACUCAGACUAAGUCAGAGCUAAACAUUAAGCAAAUGUUUUCCUACAUCAGAUUCAUUACAUGAUGAACCUAACUUUCUGUUUUUUUUCCUCCUCCCUAUGCACCUGCACGUACCCCACCUGGGGUACAUUUUCCAAUACACAAGGGUACCGCUUCUGGACGAUGACCUCCAACCCCCUCCACAACGUCGCCCUCCACCACCACCUGCUCAACAAAUCGCACAGAUACAACGACCAGCUCAACAAGCCGCACAGAUACAAAAGCCAGCACGACAAGCACUACCUGAUUGCACCCCCGCCACCGCCGAUGCAAGAACUGCCACGUGGACCAGAAUCAGAACAAAGAUGAUGUUCAGAUAAAGACGGAACGGGAGGCAAGGCCUAAGGAAACAGCAGAGAAGCCGUUCACCAGAGAAACAGCUAUCUUCAGCUUUUGCCAAGAUAGGAGAAUGGGCACAGCCACAACAUAACCAACGCAAUUUCUCUUCGCAAGGACAACGCUCCCGAGAGAACGGGCAGCAGAGAGAAUGAGAGAAGAGGAGAGGAGAUCCGAAAGAAAAUGUUUGCUGGUAUUGCGGACAGAAAGGACAUUUGAAAAACCAAUGUUUCCAUUUCCUGAAAACUCAAGGGACACCGGAAUCCCAAGGGGGCGCGGGAAACCUGCCACUGUGUGAAGAAAGGGGCGACUGAAGCCAGGAGGGGGAAGGGGAGCAUCGUACAGAGGCGGGUUAAAGCAGCACUACCCCGCCCCGCAGAGGGACCUUUGCACAACAUCAAACCAGGAGAUUUCGGGUUGGUGAAAAACCUGAGGAGGAAAUCCUGGAAGGCGAGACGGUGGGAGGGGCCAUUUCAGGUUCUGCUGACGACUCACACCGCCGUGAAGGUCGCGGAGCAUGCCACCUGGGUGCACGUUGCCCUUUGCCGGAGGGUUGGUCCUGGACUGCAAGGUGUAAACCAAAGGGAGGACGGCUAGUCGACUGCUACGGACCACUUUUUUGUAUUGGUGGGAACCACAGAUACCUGUAUACUGCAAGUUUAUACAAAGAACGACACGAGAGAACUGCAACAGCUCACAAGGUAUUGGAGGACGACUCCAGUAUUCUGGGUUUGGUUUGGACACACGCACACGACAUCUUUAAUCAGGAUAGCUUGGCACAACUGCACCGUGUGGUCCUACCAAACCCGAACCUACAAAGGAAAUUAAUCAACAAGGGCUCACGACCCCAACUCUAACUGUGCUCAGGGCUCACGACCCCAACUCUAACUGUGCUCAAUCCGGAAUCAUCAAGGGCUCACGACCCCAACUCUAACUGUGCUCAAUUUCUUCAAGAAAACUAACUAUUUUUCUUCUUUCAAAAAUGAGGUUCAUGAUCAUAUUAUGUGUGUGCAUUUUUGCUUUUACAACUGCACAGAACUCUAUGUACACUAUGGUUAAGGGUAAUAACUAGAGCUACGUAACGAUGACAGUAAAUGAAGUUAUGAAUAAAUCAUAAAAAGGGAGGAGUGUAGUGGAGGACUUUUAUUAUGCUUUUAUUUUCAUAUUAUUCAUCCUAUUUUUCAUUUUUUAAUUACAAUCAUAAGCUCAUAAAUCGUGAUUCAUAUGGAGAUCAUCUUUUUCUGCUAACGUACAGAAUUAUGCUCUUUCUGUCUUUUGAGCAAAGUACAAUGUCCAAGGACUUAAACAUCAUGUACUGAGAACAAGACAUACGUUGUAUGAUUUCACUAGAUUUGUGUUUAACUGUUUAUGUUCUUAAUCACUGACAGCUGAAGGCUAUCUUCUAAAUGACGUAGAAACGGAUGAUUGUACGUAUUUCAGCAUCUUACUAUAAAUGUGUGUUCAACCUUGUGAUCGGGGCUCUUGGGUUUAGACUUCUAGCACCAGGGAGUGAGAGCCUAUUCUGCAGAAUAUAUAAAAUUCAGACAAAGAAAAUUC